AGAGUGAACGCUGGCGGUAGGCCUAACACAUGCAAGUCGAACGGCAGCACAGUGGUAGCAAUACCAUGGGUGGCGAGUGGCGGACGGGUGAGGAAUACAUCGGAAUCUACCUUUUCGUGGGGGAUAACGUAGGGAAACUUACGCUAAUACCGCAUACGCCCUUCGGGGGAAAGCCGGGGAUCGCAAGACCUGGCGCGGAUAGAUGAGCCGAUGUCGGAUUAGCUAGUUGGUGAGGUAAUGGCUCACCAAGGCGACGAUCCGUAGCUGGUCUGAGAGGAUGAUCAGCCACACUGGAACUGAGACACGGUCCAGACUCCUACGGGAGCAGCAGUGGGAAUAUUGGACAAUGGGCGCAAGCCUGAUCCAGCCAUACCGCGUGGGUGAAGAAGGCCGUUCGGUUGUAAAGCCCGUUUUGGCGUAGGAGGAAACGGCGUACUCUUAAUACGA
rnacentral:rRNA from 1 species